rnacentral:rRNA from 1 species
GGCGGGAACCUGCGGAAGGAUCAUUG